rnacentral:rRNA from 1 species
GACGAACGCUGGCGGCGUGCUUAACACAUGCAAGUCGAACGGUGAUGCUCCAGCUUGCUGGAGUGGAUCAGUGGCGAACGGGUGAGUAACACGUGAGCAACCUGCCCCAGACUCUGGAAUAAGCGCUGGAAACGGCGUCUAAUACUGGAUACGAAACUGGCCCGCAUGGGCAUGGUUUGGAAAGUUUUUCGGUUUGGGAUGGGCUCGCGGCCUAUCAGCUUGUUGGUGAGGUAAUGGCUCACCAAGGCGACGACGGGUAGCCGGCCUGAGAGGGCGACCGGCCACACUGGGACUGUGACACGGCCCAGACUCCUACGGGAGGCAGCAGUGGGGAAUAUUGCACAAUGGGCGAAAGCCUGAUGCAGCGACGCCGCGUGAGGGAUGACGGCCUUCGGGUUGUAAACCUCUUUCAGCAGGGAAGAAGCGAAAGUGACGGUACCUGCAGAAGAAGCACCGGCUAACUACGUG